AGCUCAACUCCGGAACUGCCAUUGAAACUGUUUAGCUUGAGUAUGAGAGAGGUGAGUGGAAUUCCCAGUGUAGAGGUGAAAUUCGUAGAUAUUGGGAAGAACACCGGUGGCGAAGGCGGCUCACUGGCUCAUUACUGACGCUCAGGCGCGACAGCGUGGGGAUCAAACAGGAUUAGAUACCCUGGUAGUCCACGCCGUAAACGAUGAUUGCUAGCCGUUGGACAGCUUGCUGUUCAGUGGCGCAGCUAACGCAUUAAGCGCCCCGCCUGGGGAGUACGGCCGCAAGGCUAAAACUCAAAGGAAUUGACGGGGGCCCGCACAAGCGGCGGAGCAUGUUGCUUAAUUCGACGCAAUGCGAAGAACCUUACC
rnacentral:rRNA from 1 species